AGCGCCACCUGUUUCCUGCAGCAAGUGUCAUGGCGACUUCCUGUUUACCUUUCUGGCUCCAACGCGUGCUUUCAACUUCCAAACUUCUGCGCUGUUCUCCGUGACAUUGUGAAAUCUAUGUGGAUUUAUACGUGGUGAUCAUAUCUAGUACCAUCCGGAACAUCAAGCAUCAAUAUUUGAUACGCGACACUUUGCCUACUGGUCGUCAGCAGCUCCCAUAAAGGUGAUUCGCACAGAUCAUGGCUUGAAGCCGUCUGCUGCUUCAGUUUCUUACGCUUGGAUCUUCAGCAAAGGUGAACUUUGCUCGGGAGAUUGCGGCGCC
rnacentral:lncRNA from 1 species